rnacentral:rRNA from 1 species
ACCCGACUGCUAUUUGGGUGAGAAUAAGCCAUGCAAGUCGAAUGGAAUACCAAAAUAUUCCAUGGCAAACUGCUCAAUAACACGUGAUCAACUUACCCUAUGGAAAACAAUAACCUCUGGAAACGGAGGAUAAUGGUUUAUAGUUGAAAAGGCUUGGAAAAGUUUUUCAAUAAAAGGGAAUAAUAAAAAUGGUUAUUAUUUUGCCAUAGGAUAGGAUUGCGGUCGAUUAUGGCUGUUGGUGAGGUAAUGGCUCACCAAACCAAUAAUCGAUAGGGGCCGUGAGAGCGGGAGCCCCGAGAUGGGUACUGAGACAACGACCCAGGCCUUACGAGGUGCAGCAGGCGCGAAAACUCCGCAAUACACGAAAGUGUGACGGGGUUACCCAAAGUGCUUAAUUUUUAAGCUGUGGUAAGUGUGUAAUGUACCUUACUAGAAAGGAGAGGGCAAGGCUGGUGCCAGCCGCCGCGGUAAAACCAGCUCUUCAAGUGGUCGGGAUAUUUAUUGGGCUUAAAGUGUCCGUAGCUUGUAUAAUAAGUUCCUGGUAAAAUCUAAUAGCUUAACUAUUAGUAUGCUAGGAAUACUGUUAUACUAGAGGGUGGGAGAGGUUUGAGGUACUUCAGGGGUAGGGGUGAAAUCCUAUAAUCCUUGUAGGACCACCAGUGGCGAAGGCGUCAGACUGGAACGCGCCUGACAGUGAGGGACGAAAGCCAGGGGAGCGAACCGGAUUAGAUACCCGGGUAGUCCUGGCCGUAAACGAUGC